rnacentral:rRNA from 1 species
UGAAAGACGGUUUUGCUGUCACUUAUAGAUAGAUCCGCGCCGCAUUAGCUAGUUGGUAAGGUAACGGCUUACCAAGGCAACGAUGCGUAGCCGACCAGAGAGGGUGAUCGGCCACACUGGAACUGAGACACGGUCCAGACUCUUACGGGAGGCAGCAGUAGGGAAUCUUCCGCAAUGGGCGAAAGCCUGACGGAGCAACGCCGCGUGAGUGAAGAAGGUCUUCGGAUCGUAAAACUCUGUUAUUAGGGAAGAACAAAUGUGUAAGUAACUAUGCACGUCUUGACGGUACCUAAUCAGAAAGCCACGGCUAAAUACGUGCCAGCAGCCGCGGUAAUACGUAGGUGGCAAGCGUUAUCCGGAAUUAUUGGGCGUAAAGCGCGCGUAGGCGGUUUUUUAAGUCUGAUGUGAAAGCCCACGGCUCAACCGUGGAGGGUCAUUGGAAACUGGAAAACUUGAGUGCAGAAGAGGAAAGUGGAAUUCCAUGUGUAGCGGUGAAAUGCGCAGAGAUAUGGAGGAACACCAGUGGCGAAGGCGACUUUUUGGUCUGUAACUGACGCUGAUGUGCGAAAGCGUGGGGAUCAAACAGGAUUAGAUACCCUGGUAGUCCACCCCGUAAACGAUGAGUGCUAAGUGUUAGGGGGUUUCCGCCCCUUAGUGCUGCAGCUAAGCGCAUUAAGCACU